CUACGAUUCCAUCACUAAGGAAUCUGGAGGCAGGAGCUGAGGCAGAAGCCAUGGAGGGGUGCUGCUCACUGGCUUGCUCUUCAUAGAUUGCUCAGCCUGCUUCCUUAUAGGAUCCAGGACCACAAGCUCAAGGGUGGCCCCGCCCACAGUAAGCUACCCCUCCCAUAUCAAUAAUUAAUCAUGAAAACCGCACCACAGGCCAUUCUGUUGGGAGCAUUUUCCUCUUCCAAAAUGAGUCUCGUAUGUGUUAAGCUGACUUAAAACUAGCCUGUGUGGACAAAGCUUUCCUGAAAAGCCUCAACUUCACUGGAAACAAUCCCAAGAGCUGCCAAACACAUUUGCAUAGAAUUGAAAAGCUUUGGCACCGAAAAGACAAGAAUUACCUGGAGAAACAACAAUGUAGAAUAGAACAAUGUCUUCCCGCUGCAUGUCAGACAGCGUUGCUAUUUAGACUACACAGGAAAUGCAAAGUUAAAUACCGGAAAAUUGUCUAUUCAAUAAAUGGGUUAAUGGACCAAAUAAAAAUUUCUCUCUCUCUCUC
rnacentral:lncRNA from 1 species